UACGGAGGGUGCAAGCGUUGUCCGGAUUUAUUGGGUUUAAAGGGUGCGUAGGCGGCUUAUUAAGUCAGGGGUGAAAGACGGUGGCUCAACCAUCGCAGUGCCUUUGAUACUGAUGAGCUUGAAUACACUUGAGGUAGGCGGAAUGUGACAAGUAGCGGUGAAAUGCAUAGAUAUGUCACAGGACACCAAUUGCGAAGGCAGCUUACUAAGGUGCAAUUGACGCUGAGGCACGAAAGCGUGGGGAUCAAACAGG
rnacentral:rRNA from 1 species